GACGAACGCUGGCGGCGUGCUUAACACAUGCAAGUCGAACGGAAAGGCCUCUUUCGGGGGGUACUCGAGUGGCGAACGGGUGAGUAACACGUGAGUAACCUGCCCUUUACUUUGGGAUAACUUCAGGAAACUGGGGCUAAUACCGGAUAGGAGCUCCUGCUGCAUGGUGGGGGUUGGAAAGUUUCGGCGGUUGGGAUGGACUCGCGGCUUAUCAGCUUGUUGGUGGGGUAGUGGCUUACCAAGGCUUUGACGGGUAGCCGGCCUGAGAGGGUGACCGGCCACAUUGGGACUGAGAGACGGCCCAGGCGCCGACGGGAGGCAGCAGUGGGGAAUAUUGCACAAGGGGUGGAAGCCUGAUGCAGCAACGCCGGGGGCGGGAUGACGGCCUUCGGGUUGUAAACCGCUUUCGCUCAUGACGAAGCUUUGUGUGACGGUAGUGGGUAAAGAAGCACCGGCUAACUACGUG
rnacentral:rRNA from 1 species